rnacentral:rRNA from 1 species
AGCAGCCGCGGUAAUUCCAGCUCCAAUAGCGUAUAUUAAAGUUGCUGCAGUUAAAAAGCUCGUAGUUGAAUUUCGGGACUAAUAUGUCGGUCGUGCCUCGGUACGUACUGGCUUAUUGGUUUCUCCUUUCUGAAGAACCAUGAUGUCAUUUAUUUGGUGUCGUGGGGAAUCAGGACUGUUACUUUGAAAAAAUUAGAGUGUUUAAAGCAGGCUCACGCUUGAAUACAUUAGCAUGGAAUAAUGAAAUAGGACGUUUGAUUCUAUUUUGUUGGUUUCUAGGAUCGACGUAAUGAUUAAUAGGGAUAGUUGGGGGCAUUAGUAUUCAAUUGUCAGAGGUGAAAUUCUUGGAUUUAUUGAAGACUAACUACUGCGAAAGCAUUUGCCAAGGAUGUUUUCAUUAAUCAAGAACGAAAGUUAGGGGAUCGAAGACGAUCAGAUACCGUCGUAGUCUUAACCAUAAACUAUGCCGACUAGGGAUCGGAUGAUGUUAAUUUUUUAAUGACUCG